GCACAAAAUUUCGAAGGCCAAGCCCAAUUUCCUCUUCUUGUAUAGAAGGCCCAAGCUAAACCCUAGCUAUCCAAUCCUUCCCCAAAUCCACCGGCUGCCGUGAGCUUGCCUGUGCCCCGCUGUCGCAGCUGACGCCUCCCUCGCAGCUCCACCCCACGCUCGCCUGCGCCUGCGCCGCCGCCACCGCAUCCCGCCGGAGCUCCGUCCCACGCUCGCCCGUGGCCUUUUUGCUGACACCUCCCUGCCCUAGACCGGCCGCGCUCGCCCGCGCCGCCGCCGACGCAUCGCUGCCGGAGCUCCUUCCCUCGCUCGUCUGUGCCGCGGCCGCUGACGCCUCCCUGCUACAGAUCUGGCCCGCGCUUGCCUGCACCGCCGCCAAGACUUCCCCGCCAACGCUGCAGUUCGUCGUGCAGAAUGCCGGGAGGUUCCCGCUCGUCACCAAGUCACCAAGCCGCUCGUCGGGUCCUCUUUGAUGCCGUCUACAUCGGAACUACGCACCGCCUCCCCCACAUCUCCAUUGGAGAAAACUUCUAGGAGAGGUGUUAGGCAAAAGUAAGCUAAUUAAAGUGUUGAGCUGCUGAUGGAUGCCAAUAUGAGCUAUGUUCAGCUAGGAUAUGUAUAAUGUAGUACUAGUGUGAUUUUAUUUAAUGCUACAUUUUGGGCUUGCACUUUGUAUAAAUGAAUCAAUGUCAUGAUAAAUGUUUGUAUGAUUAAUAUAGUUCGUGAUAUGGUUUAACCAGGUGUAUCUUUUAUUUUUAUUUUUA